UCCCUGGGAUAUUCGCCAGUUGAUUAGUCCUUGAGCCGAUAAUUUUUUACUUGGAGGGAAUCAAGUCGCUAUGGUGUGCAUAUCCGCAUGACGGAAAGCCUAAUAUAUCGCUGAUCCCACCACCUUGAACCUUUCGGUUCAAGGCGCCUUCAACAGCGGUAUCAUCGGGGA
rnacentral:other from 1 species